rnacentral:lncRNA from 1 species
AUGUUCUUUCUCACCAGUGAAAGCUGCAUGAAAUGGCCUGGACUGCAUCUGGGCCACUCCAGGCUGAGGAAUGGACCUUUUCACUCACUCCCUGCUUGGGGAAACCAGGCUGCUAGUGGCUGGGCAGGCGGCUGGGCUCACCCUGUCCACCUGCUUCUACUGCGUGGAGACAGCAAAGUCCGCUCCAGCUCUCUGACGCGCUGGCGGGUAGUCUGCAGGAAGAGAAAAGAAAUCUGCCUUACUGGGGGAGGCACAGAUGGCAUGGCAAAGGACACGCCCUCCAGAAUCCCACCAUCCUGGAUGGGCCUACUGAUGAGAUCAAACCUCAGGGACCCUGGAGGGGGAGGAGGUGGGGUGCAGAUCCAGCAGCCAUGCAAUGAGCAGACAUAGAAAUCACAUUACUUUGUCCACUUGAUCCAGAGUUUCUUGGUUCUGUUGUUUCUGUGGGGAGAGUCCAAGAAAGGAAGGUGACUAAGGAUGUCCCCUCUACUCCACUCCCAGAGCAAGAGGGGGUGGGCAGGGGGCCAGGACGGGAUUGGCACAUUCUCAAACCCUAUGGGCACAGGACCUGUCCUGAGGCUCCCAAGGAAAGAGCAUGUGGGUCUUUGCUGGUUUUUGCUCACAGCUAUGGAACCGUGUCUGAAUCGGGAUUCUCCUUAGGGGACAGUAAGGUGAGCCUCCAGAAAUGGAAUGUGAGAAAAGACAGACCUUCCGCUAGGUUCAGAUUUACUAGUGUGCCUGUGCCCCCCCAACCCCAUGAGUGUGCCUGAGCCCUCGAACCGUGAGGAUGUCUGCACCCCCGAGCCAUGAGCGUAGCUGCGGACCCCAGCCCCAUGAGGGUGCCAGCACCUUCCAACCCAGUGAGGGUGGCUGCACUGCUGAUCUCUUAAGGGUGCCUGGGCCCCUCGACUCGUGAGAGUGCCUGCACUCCCUGACUCCAUGAGGGUGCCAGGGCUCCUCGAGCUGCGAGGAUGCCAGUGCCCGCGACCCUGUGAGUGUGCCUGGGCCCCCAACACUGUGAGGGUGGCUGCAGAUACCAAUGCCAUGAGGGUGCCAGCGACCCCCAACCCUGUGAGGGUGUCCGUGCCCCCUGACCCAUGAGGCUGCCAGUGAACCCGACCUGUGAGGGUGCCAGUGACCCCUGACCCGUGAGGUGGCCAGUGCCCCCCGACGUGUGAGGGUGGUGGCGCCCCCUGACUCUGUGUGAGUGCCAAUGCCCUCCAUCCUGUGAGUAUUUCUGAGCCCACCCAACCGGGGGAGGAUGUCUACGUGACCCCACAAACACAGUGGCAGUCACGGCUACCCACAGCCCUCCCCGCCCCAACCACUGUCCACAGGUGGGCCUUCUUCAGUCUUCCUCAGGCAGACAAAACUCCAGGAGGCUCUCAAA